CCCCCCCCCCCCCUGCCUCUGGACUAUGGCUGUGUGUCUGGAACGACAAUACAUAAUAAACGUGGCAGUCCAUCACCAUCACCCUGGUGGAGAAGGUGCAGAUCAUUGCCGUGUUCCUGGGCUCCCUCUUUCUGGUGGCCAGCAUCUCCUGGCUGCUGUGGUCGGCUCUCAGCCCGCAGGCCAUCUGGCAGCGCCGCGACGUCCUCUUCCAGAUCUGCUAUGGCAUGUACGGCUUCAUGGACCUGGUCUGCGUAGGCUUGAUUGUCCACGAGGGGGCAGCAGUGUAUAACGUCUGCCUGCGGGCCGUAGAGUGACGUCAAAUCCAAAUGCGCCAAUGACGUCACCGGUCAUUUCAGAUGACGUUAUCACUGAUCGCUGAUGAGGAAGAG